UUCGNAGUGUAAANUGCUUUUUNUGNAGGANGNAUNCGCCNUNGGGCGGGUGACGGUANNCCAGGAAUAAGGGGAUGCUAAUCACGUGCCAGCAGCAGCGGUAAUACGUGAUCCCCAAGUGUUAUCCGGAUUUAUUGGGCGUAAAGGGUCCGUAGGCGGUUGGGUAAGUCUUUGGUUAAAUACCCGUGGCUCAACUAUGGGAAUGCCAAAGAAACCACUCAACUAGAGGGCGUUAGAGGCUGGUGGAACGGUCGGUGUAGGGGUGAAAUCCGUUGAUAUCGACCGGAAUACCAAAAGCGAAGGCAUCCAGCUGGAGCGACCCUGACGCUGAGGGACGAAAGCUAGGGGAGAGAAAAGGAUUAGAUACCCUUGUAUUCCUAGCUGUAAACGAUGGACACUGGCUAUUUGAAGUGUCGACCCUUCAAGUGGCGAAGCUAACGCGUUAAGUGUCCCGCCUGGGAAGUACGGCGGCAACGCUAAAACUCAAAGGAAUAGACGGGGCUUUACACAAGCGGUGGACCAUGUGGCUCAAUUCGACAAUAAGCGAGGAACCUUACCAGGACUUGACAGACUAGUGAAAGGUUGCCGAAAGGCAGCCCUACCCACAAGGACACUAGCCCAGGUGCUGCACGGUUGUCGUCAGCAUGUGCCUUGAGGUGCACCCUUAAAUGGGGUAACAUGCGCAACCCCUAUCCUAUGUUUUAUAUGUCAUAGGAAACUGCCCGAGAUAAUUGGGAGGAAGGUGAGGAUGACGCCAAAUCAGCGUGGCCCUUUGAUGUCCUGGGCUGCACACGUGGUACAAUGGGGCCGACAAUGGGCGAAGCCGCAAGGCAGAGGUAAUCCCAUCAAACGGUCUCUUAGUUCGGAUUGGGGUCUGCAACCCGACCCCAUGAAGCCGGAAUCGCUAGUAAUCGCCAAUCAGCCAUGUGGCGAUGAAUAUGUUCCUGAAGCUUGUACACACCGCCCGU
rnacentral:rRNA from 1 species